CAAGUUUUAUAUUUGUGGUUUAACCUGCCCAAUGUGAAUAAUGAAUGGCCGCGGUACUCUGACCGUGCUAAGGUAGCGUAAUCAGUUGGCUUUUAAAUGGAGUCAGGAAUGAAUGGAUUAACUGGGCUUAGCUGUCUCUAAGGUAGUAUCUUGAAUUUACUGUUUAAGUGAAAAAGCUUAAUUUUGAAAAAGGGACGAGAAGACCUUUAGAAUUUUUUCUAUUUUAGUGUGUUACUUGUUAAGGUUACUAAUAAGGAUUUUAUUGGGGCGAUAAAGAAAUAAUUCUUAACUUUCUUUAAAAUACAAGUCGAAUAUAUUAAGAAAGGAUAAAUUACCUGAGGGAUAACAGCAUAAUUCUACAGAUGAGUUUGUGACCUCGAUGUUGGACUAGGAAACUGGCAAGCUAGGCGCUUGUUAUGUGGGUUCUGUUCGAACUUUUAUUCCU
rnacentral:rRNA from 1 species